UGGGGAAUCUUAGACAAUGGGCGAAAGCCUGAUCUAGCCAUGCCGCGUGAGUGAAGAAGGUCUUAGGAUCGUAAAGCUCUUUCGCCAGGGAUGAUAAUGACAGUACCUGGUAAAGAAACCCCGGCUAACUCCGUGCCAGCAGCCGCGGUAAUACGGAGGGGGUUAGCGUUGUUCGGAAUUACUGGGCGUAAAGCGCGCGUAGGCGGAUUAGCAAGUUGGGGGUGAAAUCCCAGGGCUCAACCCUGGAACUGCCUUCAAAACUGCUAGUCUUGAGUUCGAGAGAGGUGAGUGGAACUCCGAGUGUAGAGGUGAAAUUCGUAGAUAUUCGGAAGAACACCAGUGGCGAAGGCGGCUCACUGGCUCGAUACUGACGCUGAGGUGCGAAAGUGUGGGGAGCAAACAGGAUUAGAUACCCCCGUAGUCC
rnacentral:rRNA from 1 species